rnacentral:rRNA from 1 species
GUGCCAGCCGCCGCGGUAAUACGGAGGGGGCUAGCGUUGUUCGGAAUCACUGGGCGUAAAGGGCGUGUAGGCGGCGGAUUUAGUUAGGCGUGAAAGCCCCGGGCUCAACCUGGGAACUGCGCUUAAUACUGGUCUGCUAGAGUCCGGGAGAGGCGAGUGGAAUAUCCAGUGUAGAGGUGAAAUUCGUAGAUAUUGGAUGGAACACCGAUGGCGAAGGCAGCUCGCUGGACCGGAACUGACGCUGAGGCGCGAAAGCGUGGGGAGCAAACAGGAUUAGAUACCCUGGUAGUCC